ACGACUUGUGAGGCAUGUAAAUAAGACACCAUACCUUUUAACAGAUGAUCUUCCACGCUUCACGUCAAAUGGUCCAAACAGAUCCACCCCACUUCUAGUGAAAGGUGGUUCGUCCGGCACGACCCUGUUUCUUGGCAAAUCUGCCAUCAUCUGUGUGCCUGGCGCACCAUGUUGUCUUCUACAAGCAGCACAGCGGGACAGUAUUUUCCUGAUUGUCACAGGAGCAUCUAUAAUCCAGUAUCUUUGACGUAUGUGAGACAAGACGUGAUUGCGUCCACUGUGUCCCAGAAGCUCAUGUGCGUCCUGAAGAAUCAGAUCAACAACGUGAUGGUCUUUGGGCAGAAGCAUCGGAUGCUUGGCUUCUGUUGGCAUACAUGCUCGACUGAGCCUCCCUCCAACGCGAAGGAUUCCUUCUUGAAGUUGUGGGUUCAGUUUGUAUAUUCGACUGCCUUUCUUAACUGUCUCUUUUCUCUGAAGAGCAGAUAUUUCCUCUUGGAACUUAAUUUGCUGACAGUAGCGGAUGAUAUCCAGCUCAGCUUGUCGCAGAUCAUCCACAGUCAGGUUCAGCAGGAUUCCCUUGACUCGAGUGAACCACGCUACUGUUUUCUUGAGCCGUAUCCAUGAAGAGAAGUAUUCUGUUAGUCGUUGCAUUCCAUCACUGCUUUCUUUUACUGUUGUAGCAUUAACAAGUAUGCUUUUCUUGACCUCAGGAUCCGUUACUGUGAGCUCCUCUUGAUGACCCAGAUUGUCUGGCCAUUCUAGUUCGGACUUGCUGAGGAAGGCAGGCCCUGAGAUCCACACUUUGUUAUGAAUGAAGAUGUUCGCUCUUUGCCCCCUGGAAGCGAAAUCAGCUGGAUUCAACUGUGUGUUUAUGUAGCGCCAUUGUUUCACUCUUGAGGCUUGUAAGAUAGUAGCGAUCCGGUUAGCCACAAAUGUUUUAAACCUGAUGUUCUCAUUCGCUAUAUACUUGAGUACGGCCGUGCUAUCUGUCCAAAACUUGGACUCUCUAAGUGGUAGCUGCAGCUCUUUCUUUAGCAUAACAUCCACCUUCACAGCUAAGGCAGCCGCCGUCAGCUCCAACCGUGGGAUAGUUGUGGACUUCAGUGGGGCAACCCUUGCCUUUCCCAAGACAAAUGAGCAGUGUAUUUGAUUGCUGAUACUCUUUUGGACUAGGUAUGUGACAGUACCAUAGCCUGUUUCGCUUGCAUCACUAAAGUGAUGUAGUUGAGCCUCCACUGUGGCUCCGAACUCUGGUGGCUUGAAGCACCUUUCCAAUCCAAAGUCUGUGAGAUGCUGAAGCUCUUCCAUCCACCUUGACCAUUGUUGUCCAAGAUGAUCUGGCACAGCAUCGUCCCAUCCUGUUCUCAGUCUGCACAGUUCUUGCAGGAUGUUUCUGGCAAGUAGUAUGACAGGAGACAACAUACCCAAUGGGUCAUAAAUUGAACUCAUCAUUGACAAGAUUCCCCUUCGGGUGAGAGGCUUCAGUUGGAUGUUAACGUGGAACUUGAACUCAUCCGACUGGAUACACCACUGUACUCCCAAAGCCCUCUCGAUGGGGAGUGCGUCUUGAUCAAGAUCCAGGUCUUUAACUUCUGUUGCCCUGUCCUCUGGUGGAAUGCUUGACAACACGUUCUGGCUGUUUGUCAUCCAUUUUGUCAGCCUGAAUCCUCCGGCUUGACAGAUGGCCGUCAAGUCUUGAUGUAGCUUGACUGCUUCUUGUUCAGAGGCAACUGAUUUCAAACAAUCAUCAACAUAGAAAUUAUGUAAGACUGUGUCAACUGCAACUGCGUCAAACCUGUCCUUAUUAUCUUCAGCACAUCUUUUCAAUGCAUAGCUGGCGCAGCUUGGGGAAGAGGUGGCGCCAAAUAAGUGAACCUGCAUCCUAUAUUCUUGCAGCUCUUGGGAGACGUCGCCUUCUGGCC
ensembl:lncRNA